GACGAACCGUCCUAACGUUAUUCGGAAUCACUGGGCUUAAAGGGCGCGUAGGCGGCUUAUCAAGUCCGGGGUGAAAGCCUCCAGCUCAACUGGAGAAGUGCCUUGGAUACUGGUAGGCUUGAGGGAGGUAGGGGCAACUGGAACUUCCGGUGGAGCGGUGAAAUGCGUUGAUAUCGGAAGGAACGCCGGUGGCGAAAGCGAGUUGCUGGAUCUCUUCUGACGCUGAGGCGCGAAAGCUAGGGGAGCAAACGGG
rnacentral:rRNA from 1 species